rnacentral:rRNA from 1 species
CGCGUAGGCGGCUUGCCAAGUCAGUGGUGAAAUCCCGCAGCUUAACUGCGGAAGUGCCUUUGAUACUGGCGAGCUCGAGGGAGGUAGGGGUAUGCGGAACUUCUGGCGGAGCGGUGAAAUGCGUUGAUAUCAGAAGGAACGCCGGUGGCGAAAGCGGCGUACUGGACCUCUUCUGACGCUGAGGCGCGAAAGCUAGGGGAGCAAACGGGAUUAGAUACCCCGGUAGUCCUAGCCCUAAACGUUGGGUACUAGGUUGUGGACUAACAUGGGUUCACAGCCGAAGCAAAAGUGUUAAGUACCCCGCUGGGGAUAUGGUCGCAAGGCUGAA